UGGAAGGGCCUCUUCGCCCUUAUUUCUCUCCUUGUCUUCCCAAUGAGAAAAGCACCCCUGGUUCACUUAUCAUUUGCCCCAAGAGUCCACAGUAGAGGGCUGUCACAGGUACUCAUUACUAAGAUGACUUUCUGAAAGGUGAAUGAGUAUAACACUGCCAGUCCCACUCCAUUUCUUUGAAUUCCUGUUGAAAUGGUCAAUAAAGUGUGAUUAUUUAAACUAACAUAA